GCCCGGCCCGCGGGAGCGAAGUGUCCCCGCUGCUCCCCCACAGAGCUCUGGCCUCGGGAGCACUUUUGUUGUUCAGAAAGUGAGAAUGCUGCCGUGUUUAAAUGCCUCUUGAAUUCGCAACCUGAGCACACGUCCUGCUCUCUUCUUAAUCCUUCUGGCCUGCGCGUUUACCUGUGACUCUCCGGGAGCCUCCGCUGCUUGAGGACCGGAGCAGUGGUGCGGUUGGUGUGAUCGCAAUGGUUUGUCUACUUAAAGGUGCAGGGAGGAACCAUCAAGAAAAUUACCUCAUCAGCUUCAAAACUGUUACCUUGAGCACUUAAUAACCUUAAUGCAGUGAAGAUUGCACAGUCCACAGACAGAGCAACUCCACCAAUUUCAGGUGAAAGAAGGUGCCUUCCUUGGAUCUGCUCAGGCAUCACUUCUUUAUGACUUUGAUGACUAAAAGUUAGGUCCUGGUGAUUGUAAACUGCAUCCCAGGGUGCUGGCCCAGAAGGCACAGUGACUCAGAGGCAUGUGACGCAGAGUGCCUCCCCCUCUUCCUCCUGGCCAUGGGCAUGCAGGUACACACUGCUGGCCUAAUGCAUCCUUCAGUUACUACAUGUUCUUGCAGCUAUCUCACGCAGCCUUGCUCUGAAUGGUAAGUAGCAGGAGCGGGACCAUAUCUUCCCCUUUGUUCAUGCCUCUGCCUGCUCCCACUUAGUGGGCUCGAAGUACCAUUUCUCUGUGGUUAGAUCACCAGUCCAGCAGGUCCUGUGUGUAGGUGACUGCUCACUUAGUGAGCAUUUAAUCCUUUGUUUUGAGGUUUGCUGGUGCUUCUAGCCAACAUCUGGCUAUGGUGUGCCAAAUAAAACCCACAUCAGUGUUUCAUGUGAAUCCAUUGCAAGUACAAUUUAUGUCCUUCAGCAAUGUGAUUUACCUCUACCUUUUUGUUGUGUGGGUGGCUUCUUUGUUAAUGUAACCUGUGUGGCAAUCCUGGUUAAACCUUGGUGUAUAUGUCAUCUUCUAGCUCAUCAUCCCGCUUUAAAUAGCAAUUAAAAAUUAA